CCCGCUGAACUUAAGCAUAUUAUUAAGCGGAGGAAAAGAAACUAACAAGGAUUCCCCUAGUAAUGGCGAAUGAACGGGGAAGAGCCCAGCACCGAAUCCUGCGGCGUCUCGCCGUUAGGAACUGUGGUGUUUAGGCAAGCCUUUCCGGCAUCUCGAGGCAGUCAAAGUCCCCUUGAGGGGGGCCAUCGCCCAUAGCGGGUGCAAGGCCCAUACGACGUCUCUUGUGUCGGUAGGAGCUGCCGUGGAGUCGGGUUGCUUGAGAGUGCAGCCCAAAGUGGGUGGUAAACCCCAUCUAAGGCUAAAUAUGACCACGAGACCGAUAGCAAACAAGUACCGUGAGGGAAAGUUGCAAAGAACUUUGAAGAGAGAGUUCAAAGGACGUGAAACCGCUUAGAAGCAAACGGACGGAGCUGCCAUUACCUUUGUCGGAUUCAGCCGGUCAGCGGCGAACCAUUGCCUCUCGAUCGCAAGACGGGAGAGCGGUUCAGGUUCGUCGUUGGCUGGUGCAUUUCCGACAAAUGUGCGCUACGACCGACUGGGUAGUCAGCUAAAGGCCACUUGAGUGCCGACUGCGGCUUCACGGUUGCAGUGCCCCAUCUGGUGAGCCCGCUAGAUUUGCCCGGUUGAGUAAACGACCGCACUCGCUCGAGUCUCGACCUGUUCGACUUGGGGUGACCGCACGUCUGGUCGUACACGUACGACUGGGUGUACCCUCGUUUCAUAGUCGGGCAGGAUCGAGAUGGUGCACAUGGUCUGUAGCGUCCGAGUCAGCCAACCAUCCGACCCGUCUUGAAACACGG
rnacentral:rRNA from 1 species